CGUGGCUCAGAUGGUAGAUCAGCCAGCCAGAAAACCUGGGGUUCCUGGUACGAAUCCAGCUUCCGCCAUCUUAGUCAAUGCCUUGGUGUCCUUGGACAAGACACCUUGCGCCCAGUGCCACUCACACUGGCUUAAAUGUAGCUCAAAAUGCAGAUAAUUGGUUUCACAUCGUAAAGCGCUUUGAGUCUCUAGAGAAAAAGAGAUUUAUAAAUAUAGUUUACUUCACAUGUAAGUUGAGACACUACUGUACUGGCACUGAAAAUUAAAAAUAUAAUCCAGACACAAAUAUUUGAUAACGAUAUUUUUCAACAUCAGUCUUCACAUUUACCUUUAAAGUUUGCAUCAGGCUAGAGAUGACAUGUUUCAAAAGAAAAUAUAUAACAGGUAUAUUGCCGGCUAGUUAUUGUUACCAUUAGUGGUUUAACAGAACAUAUGUGCUUUUAAAUUCUAUAUUUUUUGCAGUUACUAAUUAGAUUGACACGCUUGUCAGUCUCAGUUGUCUUGUACACACGUCGAUGUGCUUGCAAGCAGUCCCAAUGAAGCAACUAACAAUUUGCAGUCAAGUUGUUGUUGAAUGAAUGUUAUUAGCUACACUUUGCCAAAUCGCUAUCAUUAACUGACAACAAACAUAACUAAUGUUCAAUUUUAGGACUAGAUGGAACAAUCCCAUGAUACAAAAUAACCUGAGUAGAGUGGCAACAGUAGGCUACCUCCUUCGGAUCUACUUCAAAGCGGCUAUGGUGUUGGACCUAGUUGGGUGGGAUUGCAAAAUGGGGGACAGAGGAGAUGGGGGAAUGGUUAACAGCUUCAUUGGGGUCAUCAGGUGGGCACCCUCCUUCACCGGUGUUUCAAUGAUAGGCCCACGACACCUCCACAGGGCUCAUCGGCACCACCUGGCGUCCCAACGCUAAAAGUCAAGAUGAUCCUGUUGUAGCAGAGCUGUGUGUCCCCACCAUUGAGGCACACAAACACUCAGCAUCUGAGAAGAAAGAUAAUCUCGGACGCCUUGCUGGACAGGAGGGAAUGAACUAGACUGGACUGGCUUUUCUAUUAGCACACCUUUUUUAUGUUUGUAUUAUAUUAUAC